GCCAGUUGCUACCAGGUAAUGCUGGGCACUCUGGUGAGACUGCCCCGGUUAACGGGGAGGAAGGUGGGGACGACGUCAAGUCAUCAUGGCCCUUACGCCUAGGGCUACACACGUACUACAAUGGCGCAUACGAAAGGGCAGCGAUACCGCGAGGUGGAGCCAAUCCCAAAAAGUAGCGUCCCAGUCCGGAUUGCAGUCUGCAACUCGACUGCAUGAAGUUGGAAUCGCUAGUAAUUCGAGAUCAGCAUGCUCGGGUGAAUGCGUUCCCGGGCCUU
rnacentral:rRNA from 1 species